rnacentral:rRNA from 1 species
UGUAGCAAUACAAGGCAGACGGCUCAGUAACGCGUAGUCAACCUACCCUAUGGACGGGGAUAACCUCGGGAAACUGAGAAUAAUACCCGAUAGAACAUUAUACCUGGAAUGGUUUAUGUUUCAAAUAAUUUAUUGCCGUAGGAUGGGACUGCGGCCUAUCAGUUUGUUGGUGAGGUAAUGGCCCACCAAGACUAUUACAGGUACGGGCUCUGAGAGGAGUAGCCCGGAGAUGGGUACUGAGACACGGACCCAGGCCCUAUGGGGCGCAGCAGGCGAGAAAACUUUGCAAUGUGCGAAAGCACGACAAGGUUAAUCCGAGUGGUUUCUGCUAAAGGAACCUUUUGUUAGUCAUAGAACCACUAAUGAAUAAGGGGUGGGCAAGUUCUGGUGUCAGCCGCCGCGGUAAAACCAGCACCUCAAGUGGUCAGGAUGAUUAUUGGGCCUAAAGCAUCCGUAGCCUGCUUUGUUAGUUUUCGGUUAAAUCCAUACGCUCAACGUAUGGGCUGCCGGGAAUACUGCAAAGCUAGGGAGUGGGAGAGGUAGACGGUACUCGGUAGGAAGGGGUAAAAUCCUUUGAUCUAUUGAUGACCACCUGUGGCGAAGGCGGUCUACCAGAACACGUCCGACGGUGAGGGAUGAAAGCUGGGGGAGCAAACCGGAUUAGAUACCCGGGUAGUCCCAGCUGUAAACUAUGCAAACUCGGUGAUGCAUUGGCUUGAUGCCAAUGCAGUGCCGCAGGGAAGCCGUUAAGUUUGCCGCCUGGGAAGUACGUACGCAAGUAUGAAACUUAAAGGAAUUGGCGGGGGAGCACCACAAGGGGUGAAGCCUGCGGUUCAAUUGGA